CCAAUAGCGUAUAUUAAAGUUGUUGCAGUUAAAAAGCUCGUAGUUGAAUUUCGGGGUUAGUAAGUUGGUCGUGCCUAUGGUAUGCACUGGCUUUACUGAUUCCUCCUUCUUGAAGAACUGUAAUGUCAUUAAUUUGGUGUUGCAGGGAAACAGGACUGUUACUUUGAAAAAAUUAGAGUGUUUAAAGCAGGCUAACGCUUGAAUACAUUAGCAUGGAAUAAUGAAAUAGGACGUUUGAUCCUAUUUUGUUGGUUUCUAGGAUUGACGUAAUGAUUAAUAGGGAUAGUUGGGGGCAUUAGUAUUCAAUUGUCAGAGGUGAAAUUCUUGGAUUUAUUGAAGACUAACUACUGCGAAAGCAUUUGCCAAGGAUGUUUUCAUUAAUCAAGAACGAAAGUUAGGGGAUCGAAGACGAUCAGAUACCGUCGUAGUCUUAGCCAUAAACUAUGCCGACUAGGGAUCGGAUGAUGUUAAUUUUUUAAUGACUCAUUCGGCGCCUUACG
rnacentral:rRNA from 1 species